ensembl:lncRNA
CCCCCCUUCCCCUUGUCUGGUCUACCCCUCCCCCGUCCAUGUGGAUGAAGGGACUGCAUGGUACAUCAGGACGGCGUCUGUCUGAGGCUUCACACUACAAUAAACCCCAGUCUGGCUCCAAAAGACUGAGUGUGAAUAAUAGAUGGGAGAAUGCAGCUGUCAUCCUACUUAAUUAUAAGAUGAGUGAGAGGACGUGGCCUGCUGACCCCCGAGAGACCCAUCCUUGGCAGGCAUGAUCAUCAGGCUGAGCAGGCUGACCCCGGGGUACUCCCGCCUGCUCCAGAGGCAGGUCUCCGGGGAGGUCCAGGUGCAGCAUCAGACCAGCUUCGUCAACCCCAUUGCCAUGACGAUGGCCGCCCUGGGCCUGGGGGUGUCUCUGUACAGUACCAAGCGGCUGGCCGAGAGAGUCCAACUGAAACAGACGGCGAACUGACGCCGCACCUAAAUGUAGACACGCACCUGAGUGUCGAAGUCACGAUGGAUUAGGCUGCUUUCACUAAACUAAUUGUAGGGCCCCUGUCACUUAGCUGCUAAGUGCCAUGUUGUCUUUGUAUGAAGUUUGUUGUUUUGUGAGUCUUGAAGAAGGUUUGAAAGGUUUGUGUGGAAGAUGAAUAUAGUUCUGUAGAGAACUGGUUGGAGAAGUAAAGGUUUGUCCCUUGUACUGUGAUGUGAACAAAGAUUAAGAAAGUGUGGAAAUUCGAAAAAUACAUGGUCACCAUCAUACUAUAUGAAGCAGAUUUCUUAGGGAAUAGUUCAGUAAUAAGGAUAUAGAGAAUAUUUUGUCACCACCUUUUGUCAAGAAGUGUCACAUUAAUAAAUCUGAUGGACCACACAGAAAGUUCUUGAAAGUGAAUAUCUUCUGUCCUGCUGACUAAAUAUUUCCCCGUAUAUCUUUGUGAUUCAUUAUGUUUCCAUCUAUUUCUGUUUGUGUCAGCUAACCUCAAAGAUGUCCCUUAAACUGAUUUUAAUCUCUGGACCUAAUCUAGUCUGCUAGUCUGACUCUGUUGUAUGUAACAUUUGUAAACUUCCUCAAUCCCUUCGAUAUUAAAUAUCAUCCGGUUAAUCAAAUUAGUUAUGACGCAAACACUUCUAUUACUUAUUUGUAAUUCAUUUCCAUGAAUGGCUUGAAAUUAAACAAAACCAUUGAAAAACGAAA